rnacentral:rRNA from 1 species
UACGGGGGGAGCAAGCGUUGUUCGGAUUUACUGGGCGUAAAGGGCGCGUAGGCGGCGUGGUAAGUCACUUGUGAAAUCUCCGGGCUUAACUCGGAACGGUCAAGUGAUACUGCUGUGCUAGAGUGCGGAAGGGGCAACUGGAAUUCUCGGUGUAGCGGUGAAAUGCGUAGAUAUCGAGAGGAACACCGGUGGCGAAGGCGGUUCUCUGGGCCUGACCUGACGCUGAGGAGCGAAAGCGUGGGGAGCGAACAGG